rnacentral:rRNA from 1 species
UACAUGGGGUGCAAACGUUGCUCGGAAUUAUUGGGCGUAAAGGGCGCGUAGGCGGCCUGGCAAGUGGAAGGUGAAAUCCCUCGGCUUAACCGAGGAACUGCCUUCCAAACUGCUUGGCUUGAGUCCGGGAGAGGUGAGUGGAAUUCCCAGUGUAGCGGUGAAAUGCGUAGAUAUUGGGAGGAACACCAGUGGCGAAGGCGGCUCACUGGACCGGAACUGACGCUGAUGCGCGAAAGCGUGGGGAGCAAACGGG